AAGCCCCGGAGAAAUUAAUUCACCCUUUAAAAUUUGCAAUUUUAUGUGCUUUACACCACAAGGCU
rnacentral:tRNA from 1 species